AUUGAACGCUGGCGGCAGGCCUAACACAUGCAAGUCGAACGAGUGGCGGACGGGUGAGUAAUGUCUGGGAAACUGCCUGAUGGAGGGGGAUAACUACUGGAAACGGUAGCUAAUACCGCAUACCAUCGGAUGUGCCCAGAUGGGAUUAGCUAGUAGGUGGGGUAACGGGUCACCUAGGCGAAGAUCCCUAGCUGGUCUGGGAGGAUGACCAGCCACACGGGAACUGAGACACGGCCCAGACCCCUACGGGAGGCAGAGGUGGGGAAUAUUGCCAAAUGGGGGCAAGCCUGAUGCAGCAAUGCCGCGUGUGUGAAGAGGGCCUUCGGGUUGUAAAGCACUUUCAGCGGGGAGGCGUUACCCGCAGAAGAAGCACCGGCUAACUCCGUGCCAGCAGCCGCGGUAAUAC
rnacentral:rRNA from 1 species